rfam:Felis catus isolate Cinnamon breed Abyssinian chromosome F2, whole genome shotgun sequence.
GCCUGGGUGGCUCAGUCGGUUAAGCAUCUGACUUUGGCUCAGGUCAUGAUCUCACAUUCUGUGAGUUCAAGCCCCACGUCGGGCU